CGGAGGGAUCCAAGCGUUAUCCGGAAUCAUUGGGUUUAAAGGGUCCGUAGGCGGUCUUAUAAGUUCAGUGGUGAAAUCUCCCCGCUCAACGGGGAACGGCCAUUGAUACUGUAGGACUUGAAUUAUUAGGAAGUAACUAGAAUAUGUAGUGUAGCGGUGAAAUGCUUAGAGAUUACAUGGAAUACCAAUUGACUAAGGCAGGUUACUACUAAUGGAUUGACGCUGAUGGACGAAAGCGUGGGUAGCGAACAGGAUU
rnacentral:rRNA from 1 species